UACGUAGGGUGCAAGCGUUAAUCGGAAUUACUGGGCGUAAAGCGUGCGCAGGCGGCUUCUUAAGUCAGAUGUGAAAUCCCCGGGCUUAACCUGGGAACUGCGUUUGAAACUGGGAAGCUAGAGUGUGGCAGAGGGGGGUGGAAUUCCACGUGUAGCAGUGAAAUGCGUAGAUAUGUGGAGGAACACCGAUGGCGAAGGCAGCCCCCUGGGCCUGCACUGACGCUCAUGCACGAAAGCGUGGGGAGCAAACAGG
rnacentral:rRNA from 1 species